GAGUGAAAUUUGCCCCUUAAAUUAGUUAACGAUAAAAAAAGUAGGCCUAUACAUUUGUUUUUGCAUGUGUAAAGUCUGCUGUCUCUAAGAUAAUAAUGUUAUUGACCAUUUUACUGUUUUCUCAGCUGACUGGUAUAUCAUGUUAUGACAGUAUAUCAUGUUAUGACAGUGGAUUUAGAUGCGGAAACAAUGUUGAUUCAACCUUUUUUUGCCCAGUGGUUAAUGUCUACAUUUGUUUUUGCCACGUUUAUUCUAUGACAGACACUUUAACUUUUACAUUAUAUGAUGUGAGCUAAACAUACAAAAUCAUUUUUUCCUUGAAAUAUUUAAUUGAAAUAUUAUAGAAUUCCAUUCAUUAUGGAGCAGGCUUUCCCAAAUUCGGUCGAGGAGUGUUUCUUCAACGGUUGAGUGUGCAUGACGGUCAAUAAAAAUUGAUGGUGUGAAGCUGCCAGACAUUGGGAGAUACUGUUGUAUGGCAACAGUUGGGAGGAAGGACUUGAUGUCUCAGGAGGGGCACAUUCAGCUGGAGGGAAUCCCACAUUUCUCAGUGAAGCCUCAUGAUGUGACAGUGGUGGCUACUGUUAGCCUCAGCCUGCAGUGUUUGGCCCAUGGGCCUCCAGAAACCAGUCAGGAUCAUCUGGCUGCAGAACGGAGGACCACUCAACACGAUACAGGAUCCGGUGUCCCAUUCUCCCUCUACUCUGAAUAUCUCAGGCAAAGACUGUCUUAUUUGCAUGCCACACGUAGAACGAAUCAAAAUCAAAUCAAAUUGUAUUUGUCACAUACUUUGUAAACAACAGGUGUGGACUAACAGUGAAAUGCUGAUUUAAUGGUCCUUUUCCAACAAUGCAGAGUUAAAGAUAAAAAAAGAAGACAUUUACAUAGUGACACGAGCAAAAAGCAUUUCUGUUGUUAUGUAUUGUGUGAUGUAAAACAUAUUUUCAGAGGCAAUUCUUUCAUAAAAGAGGGUUGAGAAAAUCAAAAGCAUUCAUUAUAUCACUGACCACCUCUCUGACUGUCACCAUUUAGGCCUCAACCAUACCAGCAGCUUCUCCUGUGAAGCACACAACAGUAAAGGUGUGGCUACCUCAGCCUCUGGAACUGUGCCGGGUCCGUACCAACAGGGCAGGGGUGCAACAGACAUUACUUAACAUACUUAUCCAUGACUAUCUCUUUUUCUGUCUUGGAAUAGUGGUUCCCUCCCAGGCACAGAAGGUCCAAGUUGUAGAGGUCACCAACUCUUCCCUACACAUCUCCUGGGAGCCUGGCUUUGGAGGGGUAUAUCCUGUCUCUGUGUGUUCUAUACAGGCAGCUCCGUCUGGUCCUGACCGCAACACGUUGCGUAAUCUCCUGAUCCAUAAUCAGAAUGUCUAUGUACCACCUGCUCAACACCUGAUCCCUGAACUGAAGCCCUACACCUUCUAUGAUGUGAGCGUGGCUUGCCGUAGUAGUCACGGUGCUUCCCCGUGGACACCAUGGGUAGCACUGCACACAGCUGAAGGAGGAGUCAGAGGUGCUUAGGCAGAGGGAGAGACAGACAGAGGGUUGGAGGGAGAGGGAGAGAGACGGGCUACAGAGUGGAAUACCUCACUGCUAACAUGCCCCAGGCUGUUAUGGAGUCAGUUCAGUCUUCUGAGCUAGCUAUCCCUCUCUCUAGCCUCCUGGGCAGUGUGUCCCUGAGUGUGAGUGCCUGUACUGUUGCAGGUUGCGGACCCUGGAGCCCAGUCCAAUCCCUCAAACAGAAGCACCCUGGUCAGUCUGGACAGAACCGAGGGAGACAACAGGAUGUGAUGGGUCAAGGAGAAGGGAAAACAGCAGGAGAUUCAAAAUUAAUAUUUGAGGGGCUGUGUUUUCUAGGUUGAUUUAAUCGGUAGCACAUUAUGGUGUCUGACAUACUGUAGCUGACAUACCUCUCUUUCCUCUGUUUUAGAUGUGUCCCUUCAUCAGACAUUCUCCUGGCAUUGGUGGUAUGUGGUCAUGGGGAUUGCUGUCAGUCUGGCCUUGAUAGGGUUCAUCGUAUAUGCAAUUAUAUUGUGACAAAGAGAGACAUGCUUUGGGAAGACAUUUUACCCUAUGAGGAACGCUGGUGGGGAUUUUGUGGUGAGAUACAGUGCAGAACGCACCUACAAUCGGCAGUCAAAUGAAGCCACAUUUUCCAUCUGCACUCGCACUGAGAUGGAGGACUUCCUCGAGGAGGCUGCUUGCAUGAAGGAGUUUGACCACCCCAACAUCAUGAGACAGACUGGGUCACUUGUCACAAAUUCCCUGCCUUCUCAGAUGCUGGUGAAGUUCAUCGCAUGGGGAAUGGAAUACCUGAGCAACAAGAGAGACCUGGCAGUGCAAAACUGAAUGCUGAAUGAGCAUAUGACUGUCUGUGUGGCAGAUUAUGGCCUUUCUAAGAAGAUCUAUAGCGGGGGACUACUAUAGACAAGGACGCAUUUCAAAGAUGCCAGUGAAAUGGAUCGCCAUCGAGAGCCUGGUAGACAGACUUUACACCACCAAGAGUGAUGUGCCACUCGGGGGCAGACGCCCUACCCUGGAGUGGAAAACAGUGAGAUCUACGACUACCUUAGGUAGGGCAACCGCCUCAAACAGCCCCCUGGCUGCCUGGACACCAUGUGAGUUUCUAGUUCUGGAUCUGUACACAUAAAUCCUUGAAUAGUAUGAGUUGGUUCACUGAAUUAUCAUUAUUUGCUGGUAUACAGUAGAGGCAACGUAACCUUCGUGGAGUACCUGAAAUUGUGUUUAUUUUUUCUCAUGUUGUAUAAGCCUCAGUCAUCCCCUCCUC